rnacentral:lncRNA from 1 species
UCAUUUUGCUCAGUGCAGAGUGGCCAAAAGCAAGUUGUAUUGGGAAAAAGAGAAAAAGAGAGGAGAGAAAGAAGGAAAGAAAAGAGAAAGAGAAAAAAAAAAAGGGAAGAAAAAGAAAAAAAAAACGAAAAAAAAAAAAAAGAAGAAAAAGAGAAAGAAAAAGGAGAAAAAAAGAGGGUGGGGGAAGGAAACAAAUCAAAAAGCAAAACAAAUCAAAAAGCAAAACAAAACAAAAACAAAAACAAAAACAAACAAAAAAAGAACCACCGGGGAGUAUCUUCUGAUUCUGUGUUAAGUCCCUUGGCUUCUCCUGGAAGUUGUCCGUCUAGCUGGUGUUCUGGGGGAGGGGCCUGUUGUGCUGAUUUUCAGGUGUUAGCAGUUGGGGGAGCUGCUGUGCCCCUGCCUGGUGCAGGGCUCGGUGGGGGUUGUUUACCCCGUGAGGCCGCAGGAGGAACAGCCCCAGUGGCGGGGCAGCUCUGGAGCCCUGGAUUCAGCUCCGGCAGGAACUCCGUCUGCAGGGCCUGGAGGCUCCGGGGCGGGGCCGCUGAUGUGCUCUCCUGGGUCAGGAGCGUCCUUGCUGUCCUGGGCCCUCCCGGCCUCUGCCUGUCCCGGGGGAGGCGGGAUCCUGGGCUGUGUCCCGGCGCCCUGUGCUCCGGAGCCUGCGCUGUUGGAUUCGCGCUCCCGGGACGCGCAGCCCCCUCCGCGGAGCCGCCGCCCAAGCCCCUCCGAGCUGCUCCCGGGGCCGCGCAGCCCCCUCCGCGGAGCCGCCGCCCGAGCCCCUUCAGCUGCUCCGGGUCCCGCCGGGUCCCGCCGUGCGCGCUGCAGCCCUUAGGGAGCUCGGCGCACUCUCCUGGGCGCGCAGUUGCUGUUACUGUCCCCGGGAGCCCGAGGGCAUCCCCGCCCUCCUGGGUCCUGCUCCAACUCCCCGCGAGCCCCUUUCCGCCCGGGAAGGUCGGUGCAGCUCCUGCUCCUCCGGGACGGGGCUCUCCUGUCCUGGGGACACUCGCCCCGGCCUCAGCCCGGCUCCUCGCGGGGCCCCUCCCCCUUGGAGGCCUUUGUUCCUUUAUUUCUUUUUCCCCGUCUUCCUACCUUGAUAGAUGCGCGAACUCUUCUCACUGUAGCAUUCCAGCUGGUCUCUCUUUAAAUCUCAGGCCGAAUUCAUAG